rnacentral:rRNA from 1 species
AGAAUGACUCUCGGCAACGGAUAUCUAGGCUCU